rnacentral:rRNA from 1 species
CCUACGGGGGGCAGCAGUGAGGAAUAUUGGUCAAUGGACGAGAGUCUGAACCAGCCAAGUAGCGUGAAGGAUGACUGCCCUAUGGGUUGUAAACUUCUUUUAUAUGGGAAUAAAAUGUUCCACGUGUGGGAUUUUGUAUGUACCAUAUGAAUAAGGCUCGGCUAACUCCGUGCCAGCAGCCGCGGUAAUACGGAGGAUCCGAGCGUUAUCCGGAUUUAUUGGGGUUAAAGGGAGCGUAGGUGGAUUGUUAAGUCAGUUGUGAAAGUUUGCGGCUCAACCGUAAAAUUGCAGUUGAAACUGGCAGUCGUGAGUACAGUAGAGGUGGGCGGAAUUCGUGGUGUAGCGGUGAAAUGCUUAGAUAUCACGAAGAACUCCGAUUGCGAAGGCAGCUCACUGGACUGCAACUGACACUGAGGCUCGAAAGUGUGGGUAUCAAACAGGAUUAGAUACCCUUGUAGUC